GUGGUUCCGAUGGUUCUGAUGGUUCUGGUGGUUCCGGUGGUUCUGGUUCUGGAGGAGAGGAGUGGACUCUGUGGCGCCUCCUGCAGGCCUCGGAGAUGAAGAUCCUAGAACAUUUUCAUUGUUGACCUUUGACCUGAAGGUGGGUCACAGAGGAUGGCCCGGUUCUGUAAAUGGGUCGGGUCCGGAUCACGUGACCCAGAGAACCAGCAGGUCUUCCAACAUCUGGCGGCCCUGCUAAUCGGAUCGGGCCAGCUGCUGCGCUGAGGUUCUGAUCCAUUUACUGAUUGGUUAAUCACUCAGAGAUCACACUGAGCCGGUCAGAACCGCAGAGAACCGGGCCGGCAGGAGCAGACCGUUUCCAUGGGAACAGAGAGAAACCAUCACCAGGGAGGAUCUGCUCUGCUGGAUCAGAACCGGCCCGUAUAGGUUCUCCUGGUUCUGCCGGGGCAUCAUGGACAGACCGACCAGAACCGGAGUCCCUCCGACCCAAACGGACUCCUGACAGAUCCGCCCAGGCGCCUCGACGCAGCGAGGCGUGAAGCUGCAAACAGUGAGAAUCGGCGCCGCUGGUACCGGGCCAGAACCCUGACGGCUGCCUGGCAGGAGCCCAGCGGUGCCGACGGAGCAAACAGCCUGAAGACUGACGCGGCGGCUGGCACCCGAACGCACCGCGGCGCCGGUCCAGAGCCCGGAGCAGAUGGUGCCGCUGGUUCUGGUUCCAGCAUGUUCCUGUCACCACAGGCCCCGCCCCCUAUGCCCAGCCUGGCCUCUGAUUGGCUGCUGCUCCACACAGAAUCACACAGUUUCACACCCAGAACCUCUGGCUGAUGAUGAUGAUGAUGAUGAUGAUGAUGAUGAUGAUGAUGACCAAGCUGCUGGUCCCAGAAAACCUGGACCGGAUCAGAACCGAUCAGAACCCGGAAGUGAGGAGAAUCCGUCCUCACUUCCUGUCUGGGUCAUGUGACCUGCUCUGCCGGUUCCCCAGUCAGCUGACCUGCUGGACCUGGUUACCAACAAGUCCUAUCAAAACAGAGAGGAGACAUGCUAGCGUUAGCCUAGCGCUAACUGAGGUCAGAAACUCCAGUCAGCAGAAUCGGGUCCUGCAGGUCCUGGAAUAUCCUGGAACAUCCUGCAGGUCCUGGAACAUCCUGGAACAUCCUGCAGGUCCUGGAAUAUCCUGCAGGUCCUGGAAUAUCCUGCAGGUCCUGGAACAUCCUGCAGGUCCUGAUAUCAGAGGAGCAUCCUGGUCCUCCAGGUCUUUCAUUUUGCUGAAUUGUGGAUUUUUAUUAAUAUUUAUUAUGAGGUAUAAAAUGUUUACAGCAUGAAAAUGGAGACGGAAAUAAAAACUGAUUUCCAUGAAGUCGUCA